rnacentral:rRNA from 1 species
GAUGAACGCUGGCGGCGUGCCUAAUACAUGCAAGUCGAGCGAACAGACGAGGAGCUUGCUCCUCUGACGUUAGCGGCGGACGGGUGAGUAACACGUGGAUAACCUACCUAUAAGACUGGGAUAACUUCGGGAAACCGGAGCUAAUACCGGAUAAUAUAUUGAACCGCAUGGUUCAAUAGUGAAAGACGGUUUUGCUGUCACUUAUAGAUGGAUCCGCGCCGCAUUAGCUAGUUGGUAAGGUAAAGGCUUACCAAGGCGACGAUGCGUAGCCGACCUGAGAGGGUGAUCGGCCACACUGGAACUGAGACACUGUCCAGACUCCUACGGGAGGCAGCAGUAGGGAAUCGUCCGCAAUGGGCGAAAUCCUGACGGAGCAACGCCGCGUGAGUGAUGAAGGUCUUCGGAUCGUAAAACUCUGUUAUUAGGGAAGAACAAAUGUGUAAGUAACUAUGCACGUCUUGACGGUACCUAAUCAGAAAGCCACGGCUAACUACGUG